CGCCUGUUUAUCAAAAACAUCGCCUCUUGAAUUUAUAUAAGAGGUCCAGCCUGCCCAGUGACCCUGUUCAACGGCCGCGGUAUCCUAACCGUGCGAAGGUAGCGUAAUCACUUGUUCUCUAAAUGCGGACUAGUAUGAAUGGCAUCACGAAGGUUAUACUGUCUCCUUUUUCUAAUCAGUGAAACUAAUCUCCCCGUGAAGAAGCGGGGAUAAUACUAUAAGACGAGAAGACCCUAUGGAGCUUUAAACAGUACAGCAUCUGCCCCAUAACACUAAAAUUUCUGAAUUAAAAACUUCAUUGGACAGUAUGACUGCGAGUUUUUGGUUGGGGUGACCACGGAGCACAAUACAACCUCCAUGCUGAAAGAAAAUUUCUAAGCCAAGGUCUACAAACCUAAGCAUCAACAUAUUGACAUCCAUUGACCCAAUACACUUGAACAACGAACCAAGUUACCCUAGGGAUAACAGCGCAAUCCACUUCAAAAGCUCCUAUCGACAAGUGGGUUUACGACCUCGAUGUUGGAUCAGGGUCUCCCAGUGGUGCAGCCGCUACUAAAGGUUCGUUUGUUCAACGAUUAAAACCCUACGUGAUCUGAGUUA
rnacentral:rRNA from 1 species